UACGUAGGAGGCGAGCGUUGUCCGGAAUCACUGGGUGUAAAGCGCGUGUAGGCGGCCUGUCAAGUCUGCUGUGAAAGCGCCUGGCUUAACCGGGCGAGGUCGGUGGAAACUGGCGGGCUGGAGGCCGGUAGAGGGGGGUGGAAUUCCCGGUGUAGUGGUGAAAUGCGUAGAGAUCGGGAGGAACACCAGUGGCGAAGGCGGCCCCCUGGGCCGCGCCUGACGCUGAGACGCGAAGGCGCGGGGAGCGAACGGG
rnacentral:rRNA from 1 species